CUGAGUUCCUCACUCAUGGCUGAGAUGUCACGUGGCACCAAGAGAGCCAAGAGAAGUGACGCAUCUUGGUAUCCCAUGGCACUUCCAGCACGGGGCUGGCGAGCAGAGGGGAGAGGAGCGCUGGCGAAGCCUGGAAUGACGCUGCCAGCGUGGGGAAAUUGAGAGGCAACUUUUAAUUUGAAGGAAGUUCAGCUUGCGAAGGAGGUGCCGCCGAGAUCCUCUGGUCCGGGAGUUGCUCUGCUGAAGCAGCAGAGGGAUUGUAAAACGUUUCAGCUUGCAGAGGCCUUGCUGCUGUCUCCCUCUUCUCUUGCCAUAAGCGUCGUGUCUGGCUGGCAGCUGGGAAGAGGAAAAGUUGGCUGCUGUUAUCUGCCACCUGAUUUCCAUGAAUUCCAGCAUUAUACAGUUUGUCUCCUACAGCUUGCUCUACUGAUGAAUCAUGGGUCUGCAUCAAUAAAUCCAGCUUUAUGCAGAGCUUUGAAACAGGGAGAACUGCAGUCUAUAAGUACUUUUCAAAAUAGGUAAGCAGAAGUGAUUUUAUACUCAGAAAUAGCUUUGGUAUGAAGACGACUUUCAGGUCCGUUGAACCUCCGAAUAAUCAGGGGAGGAGGUAGUUGCAAGCUGAUGCGUGGCUUUGGGUUUUCCCUGUGCUUGGGGCAGACCUAUUUUUGGAGUUUCAUCAGGGAUCUAUUGAGCUUUAUAGUCCUGUAUGGUAGGAAAGAGUAGUGUGGAGUCCCUUAAAAGACCUGAGCACCACUGUCUCGGAGCUUCGCAUGUCCUCUCCUGUCCUGAAGAAGUCACUUAUACAGCUAAGCACAGUCUUCAUCCUGAACUUGUUCAUCUGGCUGCAAGUUAAAGGCCACCUCAAGUCCACUUUGUAAAUACGAGUAGUAGAAAGGUA
rnacentral:lncRNA from 1 species